CUUUUACAAACCCUAAUACCUUCUCGCCGUCAGCAAUGGCUACCGCUGCCGCCAUCCCAACCACCACUGUUCAAUCAUUCGAAAAUGACAUGGCUACUGACGGUGGCUCCGCCGCAAGCUCCGUUCCUCUUCCCGCCGUGAUGAAGGCUCCGAUCCGUCCCGACGUUGUCACUUACGUCCACGCCAACAUUUCGAAAAACGCCCGACAACCUUACGCGGUGUCGAAAAAGGCUGGUCAUCAGACCUCGGCUGAGUCAUGGGGUACCGGUCGUGCCGUUUCUCGUAUCCCGCGUGUUCCUGGUGGUGGUACUCAUCGUGCU
rnacentral:misc_RNA from 1 species